rnacentral:ncRNA from 2 species
UGCGUCUUGUCGGGGUGCCGUCUUCGGAUGGCUGAGAUGGAAGCUCCAAACCCGCUGCACCUGAACAGGUUAAAACCUGCGUAGGGAACAAGAAGUAUCCAACC